GUCCUAGCCCUAACCAUCAGGACUUGGGGUGGCUCGCGUAGGCGGGUCGUCCCGGAGCUAACGCGUUAAGUCCUGCGCCUGGGGAGUACGGUCGCAAGACUGAAACUCAAAGGAAUUGACGGGGCCCGCACAAGCGGUGGAACAUGUGGUUCAAUUCGACGCAACGCGAAGAACCUUACCUGGGCUUGAACCGCUGGUGACCAACGGUAGAAAUAUCGUCUUCUCGCAAGAGACACCAGUAGAGGUGCUGCAUGGCUGUCGU
rnacentral:rRNA from 1 species